AAGGAUCAUUAAAAGGAAGAAGACGCCUGACGUCGCCUAGUACCCUUGAGGCCUACGUGCCAAGUGCCCCCAUUCGGGGCCGGGGCUUCCUUCCACCCUUGUCGUCUUGCACCCCUGUUGCCUCGGCGGGCCGCCGUGACCCACGCCGACCCCCCACGGUCGUGUGCCCGCCGCAGGAGCCAUUGGCACCUCGCCGCCUAGCGGCCUUGAUAUCUACUUAAUAGACCUAAAACUUUCAACAACGGAUCUCUUGGUUCUG
rnacentral:misc_RNA from 1 species